CCUGACGACCAUAGCGUGCGGGAACCACCUGAUCCCAUGCCGAACUCAGCAGUGAAACCGCUCAGCGCCGAUGGUAGUG
rnacentral:rRNA from 1 species